CGGGGCAGAGCAGACGCCCCGUGAGACGGCCUCCCGUCCAAGCUCUGC
rnacentral:ncRNA from 1 species